GAAAUGCGAUAAGUAAUGUGAAUUGCAGAAUUCAGUGAAUCAUAGAAUCUUUGAACGCACCUUGCGCUCCUUGGUAUUCCUUGGAGCAUGCCUGUUUGAGUAUCAUGAAAUCUUCAAAGUAAAUCUUUUGUUAACUCAAUUGGUUUCUACUUUGGUAUUGGAGGUCUUUGCAGCUUCACACCUGCUCCUCUUUGUUCAUUAGCUGGAUCUCAGUGUUAUGCUUGGUUCCACUCGGCGUGAUAAGUUAUCUAUCGCUGAGGACACUGUAAAAGGUGGCCAAGGUAAAUGCAGAUGAACCGCUUCUAAUAGUCCAUUGACUUGGACAAUACUUUUAUGAUCUGAUCUCAUAUCAGGUAGGACUACCCGCUGAACUUAAGC
rnacentral:misc_RNA from 1 species